CGGGGUGGAGUAAUGUCUGGGGAACGUGCCUGAUGGAGGGGGAUAACUGCUGGAAACGGUAGCUAAUACCGCAUAACGUCGCAAGACCAAAGAGGGGGACCGUUCGGGCCUCUUGCCAUCGGAUGUGCCCAGAUGGGAUUAGCUAGUAGGUGGGGUAACGGCUCACCUAGGCGACGAUCCCUAGCUGGUCUGAGAGGAUGCCAGCCACACUGGAACUGAGACACGGUCCAG
rnacentral:rRNA from 1 species